UGUCUUUAGUGGGGUGCGCAAGGUAUAAUCACUUCCCUCAAUCUGCUGGCAGUGCUCCUACCAGUGCAUCCCAGUAUACCAUUAGUGUUCUUGGCAACAAGGGCACACUAUUGGCUCAUAUACCCAGCUUAUUGUCCACUGUAACCCCCAGAUCCUUUUCU